CAUUACACAACGAAAAUAUGAAGGCUUUGGCUUCGCGGCCGGCUGAAAUAUUUUUUUCACCCAUGUCUUUUGCGCACUUGUUGUUUCCUGGGCGGGUUCGCCCGCCACCAGGACCAAACCAUAAACCUUUUUUUUAAUGCAGUUGCAAUCAGCGUCAGUAAAAAAUAAUGUAAUUAUUACAACUUUCAACAACGGAUCUCUUGGUUCUGGCAUCGAUGAAGAACGCAGCGAAAUGCGAUACGUAGUGUGAAUUGCAGAAUUCAGUGAAUCAUCGAAUCUUUGAACGCACAUUGCGCCCUUUGGUAUUCCAAAGGGCAUGCCUGUUCGAGCGUCAUUUGUACCUUCAAGCUUUGCUUGGUGUUGGGCGUUUUUUGUCUCCCUCUUGCUGGGAGACUCGCCUUAAAACGAUUGGCAGCCGGCCUACUGGUUUCGGAGCGCAGCACAUAUUUUGCACUCUGUGUCAGGAGAAAAGGACGGUAAUCCAUCAAGACUCUACAAAUUUUAACUUUUGACCUCGGAUCAGGUAGGGAUACCCGCUGAACUUAAGCAUAUCAAUAAGCGGAGGAAAAGAAACC
rnacentral:sRNA from 1 species